GACGGUCUCAAAUUCGUCCUUUACUGUUGGCUGUGAGAACAGAGCAGGCUGGAGAGCCGUUUAGAGGUGGGAAUGUGGAGAGUGGGGAUCAGGAUAUCAUGUAGGUUGUCCUCUUGAGGGAGGUGCAUGCCAGGAGUGGAGGGGGAUAGGAUUAUUGGAUGGACUCCCUGUGACAUUGAAAACAGGCAGAGAGGUUUGUACUCAGUAGGGAGCCAAAGAAUGAAAUGAUGUGAGAAAUUUAAAAGACCGGUUCCUAGUUCAUUCUCUGGGUGUUCACUGAGCACUUUACAGCACACCAGGCACGUUCAAGAUGCUGAAGAUCCCCAUAAGCUUAAGGAUUUAUAAUUAAAUGAAUGAGAAGGACAAGGAAACAGUGUUGUAAUUCCAUGCCAUAGUCCUGGAGAGACAGCAGGGAGAGUGUUGGGUGGGAUUAGUCCCACUCCAGUGGCAGCAGCCGUAAUGCCAUGGAAGGCCUUCAGGUGAAAUAGUAUCUGAGCUGCAUAGGACAGGCUUGUUAGCAAAGUGAGCAACACAUGCAAACUGAGCUGGAGAGUAAGUGGGCAAGGGCUAUAGUGCAGGACAUGGUGGGACAUGUGAGGUGAUAGGUGAGGGUGAGAGGCGGGCCUGGCCAGGGGAAGAAGGGACUUACAUAAUACCAAUAACAGUGAAUUAGUAUUCUUUUGUUUGUUUGUUUUUUUAGUUUUUUUAAUUUAAUUUUAACUGGAGAAUGAUUGCUUCACAACGUUGUAUUGAUUUCUGCCUUACAACCAUGUGAGUCAUGUCUGUUUGUUUUUAGGGUGAAGCAAGCUGCAGGAGUGAAUGAAACUGUGAAAUGACUGAGAAGUUAGAAAGCAAAAGAAGGAAGCCUGAGGAGCCCCCUGGUUUCCUCUUAUACACAGAUAAUCAUCUCCUGCAUAUUGACCAUCUGCUGUCAAAGCAAAAUUCCAGUAGACCAAACUUUAAAUGCUUCCUUGCUGGCUCAGACGGUAAAGCAUCUGCCUGUAAUGUGGGAGACCUGGGUUCAGUCCCUGGGUCGGGAACAUCCCCUGGAAAAGGAAAUGGCAACCCACUCCAGUAUCCUUGCCUGGAAAAUCCCGUGGAUGGAGGAGGCUGGUAGGCUACAGUCCACGGGGUUGCAAAGAGUCGGACAUGACUGAGCAACUUUAAACUUUAAAUCUUCAUACCAAGAACAAAUCCAAAUGUGGAGCAGGGCUGCUGUGCUGCUGGGCCUUCUACUACCAAGUGCUGAAGGACCUCAUGCCAGGGAAUUAUGGUCACUGAUUUCAUGGCGCCAUCAACCAAGAGCAGAGAAAUAUCAGCGAAGUCUCCCCUUCACAGGGCUGCGAGAAUGAGGCCAACACAUAUCAGAUGCUGGGGGGUAUGGGGCGUGUGUGUGUAUGUGUGUGUGUGUGAAAGAGAGAGAGAAAGAGAGCCCGUGCAUGAGUUGCUGUGGAGUUCCUGCAUCAAGUCUACCCCCAGGCCUGCUCUAAACUCUACUUUUCAUGGUUUGAUGGUUUGUUUAUAUGAACAUGUAAUUUCCUCUUUUUGGCUUAAGCUGCUUGAGUUGAGUUUCUCAUAAUUAAGAAUCCUGACUGGAAUACAUUUUUGUGUCUAAAACUUUUUUUCUAUUUCAAAUUAUUUCCUCAGCAUAUAUUCUUUGAAGGGAAAGUAAAAGGUUCAAAAUAAUCACCAAGUUAUACCAUAUCUAGAAAAGUAUACCUUAUUUCACUAUACUCUUUUAAGUAUUGAGUAAUAUAAUUUUUAAGCCUUUGUUAAUUUCUUAGGUUAAAAAAAUAUUGUUUAAAGUUACUUGUUUUUAAAUGUUAGUUGAAAAUAUUCCAAUUCUAUCUGUUUUAUACCUUUUUUUGGCAAAUCGUCUAAUUAUAUCUUUAACCUGUUGUCUUUAUUGGGGUUCAAAUGUCUUUGCUUUUGUAAAAAUCAAUUUUUAUUCAUUGUCUCCAGGUAAAGCCUAUUAAUUUGCCUGUCAUAUUUAUCUCAAAUAUUUUUCCUAGCUUGGUUGCUUGCUUUGAAUUCUGUUCAUUAUUCUUUUGGAGUUACAGAAAUUAUAAGAUGUUACGUAGUCAAGUUGGCAUUUUCUUUUACAGCUCUUUGAUUUAGCAGAAAAUAAAGGAGACCUAUUUUCUGUUCUUUAGUCUUUAUGUGGUGGCUACAGAAAAAAAUUUUUUUAAAGAAAUGACUUUUUAAAAUAGAGUAACAGUGAAGAAUGUGGCAGCCAUGGAGGCUCUGCUUGGAGCUCACUUGAAGAAGGAGAUCACCUUUCAUCUGUGAGGAGUGCAGUGAGCUGACCCUCUCUAGUUGCAACACCAGAGGAUCUGCUACAAUGUUUGAAACCACCCUCUUCCCAGGCAGCUCCCAGCCAAUGACUGAUCACAGCAGAGGGACUUGACCUGGCCUUUGCUGGUCGAUUGCUCUAUGAGCCAUCUGUGUGCUGGACUGCAUUGUCAGAUGAUGUGAAACUUCUCAGAGCUGCACUGCAACCUGAAGCUCUUUCUCCCAAUCUCCCUUCCUCCCGCCGCUCUUCUUUCACGGGUGCCAGACCAACACUGCGGUCUGAAGGUUCCCCCUGCCUAUUCCUGCUCUUUUUGCCCUUCUCACAAGUAUUACCUGCAACAAGUAAUACUUUUCACAAGUAUUACCUGCAACAAAUCUUUGGCAUCUUUAUCUUUGUUAUGACAUGUGCUUCCUAGAGAACAUAAAUGACAGUUAUUAUUUAAAAAAUGAAGUGAUUCAGAGAAAUACAACAGAGAAAAGAACAAAUCAAAAGUAUGAGGACCACAGAAGACUCGGAAGUGAAGAGCAAGUAUGAGUAGCCGCACAUCCUGUCAGAUGGAGGCCUGCUACCCGCUCUCAGCAACUUCUCACCUGAUCCCCGUUUUUGUUUAGCUGGUCUUCUCCUUGUUGACAGAGCCUUUUUGCCACCAAAGGGACUAACUGCUGAAUUUUAAUAUCAGCUUCCCUUGCAAUGAGAAUCUGGAUAUAUGAGAUAUAAAAGGAAAUGUGUUGAGUAUCUAGGAAAUAUUUUAUUUUUUUCUUUAAUAAGAGAGAGACAAGCAGGAAUAGAGCCCACCCCCCUCACUUUCUUCCUGUCUUUGAACAUUGAUGUGCGAGAAUGUGAUGCCUGGAGUUGUGGCAGUCAUCUUGCAACCAUGAGGGGAAAGUAGAUAGAAGCUCAUAAAAGUGACUUGAUGUCAUCAGAUCACUGCAUCUAUCAACUCUGGAAUCAUCUAAUAGAAUAAUAGAAUGUUACCACUUGCUCUGGAAUGUGUCUUGUGUCUGUUACAUGCAGCCAAAACCAUAUUACCUGAUACACUUUCUAAAUUUGCCUUUGCCUCUUUCUGCUCUUUGUCAUAUAACCCAUUUCUAGUUGAUAGUUCCACUUUGAAUGUCUCAGUGGCUUAGUUGGAGAAGGAAAUGGCAACCCACUCCAGUAUUCUUGCCUGGAGAAUCCCGUGGACAGAGGGGCCUGAUGGGCUGCUGUCCAUGGGGUUGCACAGAGUCAGA